GACGCGGGGGGGCGGUGGGGGGCGGUGGUAGAUGGGGUGCGUGGGUUGUACGGGAGUGUGUGGCGUAAAGGGGUGGUGGGCGGUCCGUCAGGUCGGGGGGGAAAACGUGGGGCUCGACCCCAAGCUUGCUCUCGGUACGUGCGGACUAGAGGUAGGUAGGGGAGAACGGAAUUCCUGGUGUAGCGGUGGAAUGCGCAGAUAUCAGGAGGAACACCGGUGGCGAAGGCGGUUCUCUGGGCCUUACCUGACGCUGAGGAGCGAAAGCGUGGGGAGCGAACAGGAUUAGAUACCCCAGUAGUC
rnacentral:rRNA from 1 species